AUCUGUUAAUCUGUGUAUGUACGUGCACAUGUGCGUUUUUUAAAAUUAAUUUCCAAAACAUUCAUUAGCUUCUCAAAAAGGUCCUUGACCAUAAAUUUUUAAGAGCCUCUUAUUUAUUUGACUCACAUAUUAGUUGAAGAUCGAAACCUGGAGAAGUAAAAUGGUUUGUUCAAAAUCAGAGGUGGCAGGUUGAUGAGGUCAUAAGGGUUUAUGCUGCUGACUACCCUCUCUCCCCUGGUCCCCUCAUUUCUCCCUGCCCCAGGUGCUGAUGCACAGAACACAGUGACAAGGGGCCGGCACACAGCGCACGAAGCCGAUGUCUGCUGAACCCUGACCUGCUCACCCACGUCAGCAGGAGAGUGUGCCAACGAUGUGGUCCACAAGAGCGGAGCCAUUUUAAAAUGGAGUAGGAGCCGCCUUCCCAGACACACGGCUUUGACUGGACCAAAACAGCAAUUGUUUUACAAGCAGUUGUGUGAGAAGUCAGCAGGAGAACGGGCACCCUGAUCACAAAGACUGAGGAUUGUGGACUUUCUGAAGCUACAAUCAAUAGUCAAUCAAUGUUCAGUCAAGACUUGCUCUCCGCCUCCAACUCCAAUUAAAAUUCGUUGCAAUACAACCUCCCUUCUUUGCCUUUAAAAAUCCCUGACUUUUUACUUCUUAGUGGGACACUAUUUGGGUUUGAGUCUGUGCUCACUGAAUUGCAAUUCUUUGAUCCCAAAUAAACACUUUGCCUUUUAAACUGGUUUCUGUUUUUGUAACUUGACAAUCUUUCCAUGACUUUCCAGUCUUCAUCAAACCUAGCAUAAAAACACUCAGGUUUAAUCAUUUCUUCGGGCGUAUGCUUUUCUCUAGUUAAUCUGUCUUUUGUUACCGGGAUCCCAGUGGAGAACUUAGAAGAGUAGAAGAAAAAGAUAUUUUCCCUCCCCUACAAGAUUAAUGGAUUUGCAGUCCUGGGAGCCACAUGUGUGAAUCCAUUCUGUGCCACCAUGAUUCACCUUGGCAAAGCCACUUAGUCUCUGGGGACCUCAGUUUCUUAGCACAAUGAUUACUUACUGAAUCUCUGUCUAUCCAGGGAACAGGGACAGAAAAGAAAGAGUGUUGACCUCGUUCCCUGCCUGGGGGAAUAGCCAUUACUCCCAAAAGAGAAGGACAAGAAAAAUUGGGAGGAAUCCAGAGAGGGGCAGCUUAGGCUCAUGGUGGAAGGUCUUGUCCUAUAAUUCCACCUGGGGAAGCGGUGGAAGACCUUUCACUUUCCAUUGUUCACAGGUGAGGAGAUUGUGGCAGAGCAUUAAUAUUUCCACCCAAAAUGCUCCCCCUCAGUUGAAGGUAGCUAGGGUUUUGUGAUUUCCUGUGUUGACCUGAACUGCAAAAAGGCAGCUGCCUGGCCAGGACAAAGCACCUCAGGGUCCUCAUUGUCCUCCUCCCUCCUGCCCUGGAAAUCCCCUCAUCCCUGCCCAAAGGGCAGAGAGAAAGGGGGUGAGAGAAAGGGGCCAUGAGUCAGAGCCAAGGCUGGGAGUAGCCAGACAGCAGGUGGUCUCCGGGGGGCCUGAGCCUUCGCAGGUCCUCUGUGGGGGAGUGGAAUGGAGGCAGGAAAUUCUGAGGAGUUAGGGG
ensembl:lncRNA